rnacentral:rRNA from 1 species
UACGGAGGGUGCAAGCGUUAUCCGGAUUCACUGGGUUUAAAGGGUACGUAGGCGGGCAGGUAAGUCCGUGGUGAAAUCUCUGAGCUUAACUCAGAAACUGCCAUGGAUACUAUUUGUCUUGAAUAUUGUGGAGGUAAGCGGAAUAUGUCAUGUAGCGGUGAAAUGCUUAGAUAUGACAUAGAACACCAAUUGCGAAGGCAGCUUACUACACAGUUAUUGACGCUGAGGCACGAAAGCGUGGGGAUCAAACAGG